CGGGUGAGCCUGGGGGCUCCUCCCACUCUGUCCCUCCCUGAGACAGCCCUCGCCACAGCUCCCGAGCCGGCCACCACGUCCCUGCAUACUUCAUCAUCACCUGUGCCACCAGAAGCCACCACAGCUUUGGGGCACAACCUGAAGUCCCUCACAGUCACCUUCCCCAUCUCCACCCUCCAGUAUUCAUCAGACAGGAGCAACGGCUCAGCCACAUUCAACUCCACUGAGAGGGUCCUGCAGAGCCUGGGGAGACCCUGGUCCCAGCAGCUCCUGGCCUGAAAAGGAUGGGGAAGCCAGCAGUGUGGACGCUGUCUGCACCUACCAUCCUGACCCCGUGGGCCAC